rnacentral:lncRNA from 1 species
AUCUCUACAAGAUGGCUAAGUCUGUUUAGGACGUUAAGAGUUUGUUGUGAUCAGCAACAAAUUAAUGGUUAAAAUUACCGUUUCGAGUCUUCGCGAAAGAUAUGUUUUGAGAAGAUGUUAGUGCGUAUGACUGUCUGGUAUUCGAAGAAAGUGUUUUUAUCGAGGAAGGAAAUUUCAUCGAAGAACAAAUCUUCAGGCGUCUGCGACGUCUCGCGAUGCUGAAGAUUUGUUAUUCUUUCAUAUGCCACGUUUCGUGCUUGAAAUGUUCGCGGGCUUGAAGAUGUUUCGCGAUGUUGCAAGGGAUUAGUCUUAGCCCUGCGUUAGGGAAACAUUCUGGUUUGACUAC